CUUCUUUAUCAAAUGAGCUUUCUUCAGAUCUCAAUUGCAGCCAUUUUUUUGUGUUUGUCACUCGCAGACAGUUAAUGUUUUACUCUGAUACUUUUGCACUAGUGCUUCAUCUUCAGAGAGAUUCACGGAAAGGACUCUGACAAGUACUCUAGAAUACAGGUUUCUGACAACUUUAAUAUCAUAACAAUGAAAUGGGAAACCUUUUUCUUGAUUCUCUUAAGCUAUCUGACUCACAACAAUUUGCCAUCUUCAGUACAUCAUAUGGUCACACUCUGCUUGGAGAAACAGAAACAAGAUGAACAAGGAGAUGAACAGCAAAAACAGUUCUUCCAUGAACCUGACAUCAUAACCUACAAGUUUCACAAUGAAACAAGAACAGCUUAAAACUGAUGGUGACUGAGUGGUGCUAAUGCCAAAUUUUUGGUCAAUAUCUCAUAUUCAAGAGGAUAAUCAGAGGAGAGAAUUGUUAAAUUAACUAAACAAGGAAACCAUUAAACUGAGUGACUGCAAUGCCUUAGUGGUCCAUGUAAGCAAACCAAAAUCUAAGCCUGUAAAUGCAUCAGUGUUACAAAAUCAAAACCUAAGGACAACUAAUCACAAAAAACCAACUAAGCUUUACACUACAGCCAAUAAAAUAAUUUCUUUGUUUGCACUCCUUCUCUAUAUAAGUUAUUCCCCUAGCUUAUGUUGGUAGAAUGCUUCUAACCACUUUUGAUUUUCUGCUGCCCAAAUCGAAUUAAUUUUUGCUCAGAUAAACAUACCUCAGUUUAUCUGUAAUAGCCAAAAACUGGAAUCAGCCCAGAUGUCUCUCAUAGCAGAGUGAUUAAACAACUCUGGUACCUCCCUUCCAGAGAAUACUACUCAGUAAUAAAA
rnacentral:lncRNA from 1 species